rnacentral:rRNA from 1 species
AAAAGUACUUUGAAAAGAGAGUGCAAGAGAACGUGAAACCGUUGUAAUGGAAGCGAAUGGAGCCGACGUAUCUAGUGCGUAUUCAACUUUCGGGCUGUUCAAUUGAGCGUUUAGCAUUUCAGCAAUGUGUGCUUUGUUUAUUGUUGGGCGGUUCGUUGGUGCAUUUGCGUACGGAGUGCGCCGAGUUGUGUGGUGUUGCUAAACAAACCUUGUUUAGAGGACCGGGCCUUCGGGCUCCGGAACCCUGGGCUUGUCGAGUUUGGUUGACGCUGCGCAGCUUCGUAGAGACAUGGGUUUUUCGCAUAUCGUUGCGUCGAUGUGUUCGGUUCGUGUUGUACACAUGUGUGCGGCGCUUCUCGGGCCUAUCGGCGUGGUGGUUUGCUCUAUGUUCUUCUCGGUGUAUAGUCGGUGACCCAUUCGACCCGUCUUGAAACACGGACCAAGGAGUUUAUGGUAUGCGCGAGUCAUUGGAUUCGAAAAUCUAAAGGCGAAAUGAAAGUGAGACUUUACUAGUUUUAACGUGAAUGGGUGCGGCAUUCGUGCGGCCCAAGCAACGUUGCCCCGUUUCGAAGACUUGUCUUGUUGCGGAGGUUGAGCGUAUGCUAUGAGACCCGAAAGAUGGUGAACUAUGCCUGAACAGGACGAAGCCAGAGGAAACUCUGGUGGAAGUCCGAAGCGGUUCUGACGUGCAAAUCGAUCGUCUGAUUUUGGUAUAGGGGCGCAAGACUAAUCGAACCAUC